CAAAUUGGUGCUUUCCUCCCCCCCUAACAUGUCACGGUAGACUUGCAGUGGAAAGGAAGUGUGUCAUCUCUGUGGUUUAGUUUUUUGAGUGAGGAAAUACAACCACAUAUUUUAGUUAGAUUCACUUAAAAAAAAAAUAAAUCACCAUCUUCUAAGUCCAUUUGUUUUAUAUUGCUGGUCGGUUGCAUCCCAAGAAAAAGAUAAAGAAACUGCGUGGUUAAGUAAUAGAAUAAUCUGAAAUUCAACUCUGAAUUUGACCAUACUUCUGGCAAGGUAGCUACUGGAUAUGAACGUGAAAUUGACGAGGCGCUGUAAUUUUGCUUUCAUUGUUGCGAUCAUCUUUUUAUUUUGCUUGCAAAUCAGAGCAAACGACACUGACCGUCCCCGGUUUACAAAUGAGAGCUAUUUGGGUACCAUUCCCCAAAACAUAAGUGAAAACCAGAGUACCACUGAAGCCAGUACAAAUUUUGUUACGCAAAACACAGAUUACAAUGGCGAGUCAACUACUACUUUUGAAACGCAGACAGCCGCCUUUCAAACAACAUUUGGUCAGGAACUGUCAACAUUUUCCCCUAGCUUUCAUCUUACUUCUGCAGUUCAAGACCCUUUGACCACCACCAAGACCCAGAUUACAACAAAAACUGAACAUUGUGAAGAAAAGAAUAAAUCUCUGAUACUAAUUUGUUUUAUUAUAAUAGCAGUGCUUGUUCUUGCUUGCACAUUUCUAUUUCUGUCAACUGUGGUAAUGGCAAACAAGGUAUCGUAUCUCAAAAGAUCUAAAGAAGGAAAGCGCAUGCCCAGAAGUAAUGGUGAUUUUCUGGUUAGUAGCAGUUUAUGGCCAGCUGGAUCAAAUACAUGGCAGAGGAAGUCUAAACAGCUAACAGGGACUGACUUGAUGAUGCAAGACCUGAUAUCAGAGACAGCUAACACAGUUCAAAAGAAAAAUGCAGUUGAAACAACUGAGAAACUCACUAGGGGAAGAGCUAAUGAUCAGAAAAAUGAACAAGCCUCAAAACCAUGUGACAGCAUCGUAACCAAUUUUAUAGUUGAGAUUUAAAUAAAGCUCAGAUUCCUAACAGAGAUGACAUUGCAGCCUUGAAGUAACAUAGUGCCACACAGGAGAACCAGGUUCACAUCCUGGAUUUGGUUUUCCACUGCAUAACAAUGGGAACUCUAGGCAGUAGCACACAGCUCCAUAGGAAGGAGCACCCCAACUCAUGUGCAAUCAACCUUUCAGUCAUUUGAAACAGUACCCUGAAUUGUUUUAAAGGGAGACCUCUCUAUUAGUGCUUUGAAAGAAACUGGUGGGCAAUGGAGCUGAGUGGGGAUAAAGCAACAAAAUAUUUAGGAUAUUAGGGCUGCAAAAGGAACCCCACAAAGGCCAUGGGGAUGGACCAAUAGCUUAGUAGGUAUAGAAUCCGCAGAGUGCUAUUUAUGGGUAUACGAUUACUUUUUUAUUUUAAAUGAAGCUCGUUUCUCUCUGAUGUAAUCAGUGACCCACAAACCAGUAGGUUAGAAGACCACUCUGAUACUGCAAACAGAAUUCUCAAGAGCUCCUCAGCAUAUUUUUGUAGAUCAGAGGUUCUCAAAUUGUGGUCUGUUGAUCACUGAAGGUAUGCGGAGAGCUGGCUGAUCACAUGGUGCUAUCUCCUCCUCGUUGCCAUCUGCUUAAUUAUAUUAAGAAACAGUUAAAAAUAACUAACAUGCAGGCAACUGCUCUAGUUGUUAGAGAGAUGCUGCAUGAUGAAAAAUGGGAGGAGAGGGCCACGAAUGGGGAAGUGUUCCCUCAGACUAACUCUAUACUAAGAUAUGCUCUGGAUUGUGAAGAAGUUUGAGCACCCAUAUAACUAAGUGUUGUGUGAGUCAACCUCUAAAAAACUAGCAUUUUCAGUUACUUGUGCUGGCAUUUGUUUGGUUGCAACUAACUUUAAAGCAAACAUAUUGUACAGUCAAAAUACGAUUUCUGCUCUUGUUCUUUCAAAAACCAUAAUACAAGCCUACCUUGCUUUUGAACUAAUUUAAAGUCAACUGUAUUUGCUGAGCUUUAAGUUUGUGCAAAAAUAUAUAAAUCUUGUUUUAUACGUAACAUGGUUGCAGAAAAACUCUUUCACUUGGUAACCCCAAUAAAAACAUACAAUAGAUUUUGAAACAAUCUGACUCAUUCAUAAUUAUGGUAUAUAAUAGAUUGGGGUUUCUAUUGUAAGGAAACAACUUCUAGAAUAUUAAUUCUCCAGAAUGUUUACUAAGGGAAAAAUUACGUCACUCUGGAGAGUGAAAAAGAAAUGCACUUAAGUAGUUUUUUUGUUGUGGAUUUGCUUGUUUAUAAGAAUGAAGAUGAAAUUUUAUUACUUUCAUCUAGCUUACUUUAUCCAGAAGAUUAAUACAAUGAAACCCGCACUAAGGACCACCUACCAAGAACUACUCUAACAUAAGACCAUUACUAUGAAGUAUCCCUAAAGAUUUCUUUGAGUACCACUUCAACUUUUAGCUCCUCUAAGCUGGUCUUUUGAAUGAAUGUUUGUAACAGGUUUCACUAUACUAAAGAUUCACUACCUGGAGGAAACUGGAGAGACUUCUUAUUUGUGCACAUUAUUUCUAUACCUAAGCACAGAUGAACUGCUUCACAGAUACAUCAGUUAAUUCUUGGGAUCUUGAAAAAAACAAACUAGCAACUUCAACAUUUUCUUUGUUGCUCUGCAGAUUAAGCUAAAACAGUCUACAAUUGUGUCAGCAGGGCACUUCAACUUGUAAAAUGGAAGUUAGUCACUGGGCACAAUAAUGCAACAUUUGUAUAUAUAUCAAGAUACUCAUAAUUUCACUAAUCAUACUUGCAUAUAGAUAUGUGAUAAAACAUUUAAGUCACACUUCUUCAAAAUAUGUACUCCCAACUGAUUAAUAUUUGUAUUGCCACAAGAGAAGAGAUAUUGCUGAGGAAAUUUUUCCUCUUUCCAGAAAUAUGGAUGGACAUAUAGCAAUUAAACAUCUGUAUUGGGACAGGACAUAGAGGCCUCACCCAGGUUAUUUAGCCAUUGUGCUAGGCACUGUAGAAACACAGCAAAUAAUUAUCGCUGCCCCCAGACACCUUGGAAUCAAAAUACCUGUAAUAUUCGGUUAGAGACACUCUAAAGUAGUUAGAAAAAACAUGAGGAUUUCCUGGGUGGCACAGUGAUUCAGGUACAUUAGUAGAUUGCUUACAGGUACGUUAUCGUAUUUUUCCUGUGUGUUUAAAACAAAAUUCUGAGACAAUACGAAGUCUUGCAAAAAUCAUUUAUGAAGCAGUUAUUAAAAGAUGCUUUAGAGGAGCUACCUAAAAAGUUAUUUUCAACAAGGACAAAUUCUCCAGUUCUGAAAAUGAACUGAUAUGCAGGCUUGACCUUUAGUCUAAGAAGCAGCAUAUAACUAGGUCUGUUGAACUCGUUUGGCAAGUGUUAAAAAAACUACACACUGAUGGUAUCUCCUGAAAACUAAUGGUUUGGCCUUUCCAAACUCCCCAUACAUUUCCUAUCUAUAAUGUAUAUCUUUUGAUGCAAGAAAGUGUUGAUUUUUAAAGCUCGGGAAAAUAAAGACAUGUAACCUAUUUAAGCACCGAAUUGAUCCUCCUUCACUGAAAGUGAAUUCCAUCAAGGAACCCAACUUGGAAAGAAUAUAUAUAAACCCUAUUACAUAUAUUAAUAUUUCUACCUUGCUGCCUCUGUUCAGCCAGAAGUGAGGGUCAGGGGCGCAAGCAGGCAACAGCAGACACUGAAGUUUUAUGCACUGGGAUUGGCUGUUGCUCCUCCGGCUAGGAUGGUGGAAGGAGUGGACUGUGGUGCUUCCCUUGGUUUCAGGGAAUUGAAAUAUUCCACUGCUAUUUGUUCCCUGGGUCCCUUGGGGAGCAAAUAUCACUGUAGCUUGUUGCCUUAUCCCCUCUGCUCCCCCAGACCACUUAACUUUCUGUAGGAGUUAAGCAGCAGCAACAGAGAUCAAAGGCCUUAUUCAACUCCCACUGAAGCCAGGGGAAGUCUUUCCACUGGCUUCUAAGGGCAUUGGAUCAUGACAUCAUUGCUGGAUUCCAUUACAGCGCCCCUGGAGAGCAAAGAUGUGGUCCCAGUCCCCUCUACCAGCUACCAGCAGAAAACAUGGAGAGAAGUCACCAAAAGUGUUCAGCUCCAGUUAUAGCAGAACACUGUUUACUGUGAGAGUCUCAUUUAAAAAGUGAUUUUACUGUACGCCAGUUCCUUCAUAUGCAUGUAAGUGUCAUACACUGCACAUUCCUUUUUCAAAAAGCCCCUUGAAUCAGCGAUGUCUAAAUUGCUAUGAAACAAUAUUUAAGUAGCAGUUCCCUCCCUGCUCUGCACAUAAUAUAUAAAAUGCACAGUCAAAACUUAUUUCUAUGAUUUGACUAUUGUACACCCAAAUACAGUACUCUUCUGCACAUUUGCUCCUAAUCCCCUCUAUUUCUGAGAGGCACUCCAACCCCUGUUAAUCUACAAGGAUAUAGUAGCUACUAUCCUGCAUUUUUUGCAGGAUUCAAGCACCUGACAGUGAUCAAAAGGAGCCCUGCGGAUUUCACAGAGCACAACCCCUCCCAUUUACAGUCACACACAGUGUGGCAACUACAAAAGUGGCCUAUUUGGAACAAUAAUAUUAAGCAAGUUUUUAGCUGCCUUUUAUUGCAAUUUAGGAAAUGAAAAUACGGAAGGGAACCAGCACCCUGUGAUCAGCCAGCUCUCCACAAACCACCAUUUGAGAACUUCUGAUCUAAAUCAUCUUCAUUUGAGCCUCUUUGAAUAGUAAUAAUUGUUGCACUUCACCAGAAAAGCACAGAAAGUAGGAAGAAGAUUGUGUUCAGCUCAAUCCACUUCUACUUAAUAUAUAAAAUUACCAUUGCUCAUGUUUUCUCUAUAGACACAGGCAUAUAAACAUCAAUACUACUACGAAUAUCUUAUGCAAAAAUUGCAAACAUGACUAUUUACACUUUUUUUUUUUUUAAACACAACAACAUAUCCCAAAUUUGGUCUUCAAGUAGGCAACUUCUGAACAUUAAUUCUUAGUCAUGUCCCUAAUCUUGACACUUCCUGCAGCAAGUGUUGAUAAACUUCCUCUUUCUAUGCAAAAAAAUUUCAGUGUGAGAACAGUGGACCCUUUUAGAGCUCUUUAAUGUGCAACACGCAUUCUGACUGCUUUAGUUUUGAAACAGCAAAAUGUUAACUUAGUAUGUGAAGACUGUUUACUACAGGAGACAUUGUACAGAAGAUAACCACACACUGCGUGUGGUCAGCAGAAGAGAAGGACACGAACCAUAUAAUCCUAAUUUUCUUCUAUGGACAAUUGUGGAGAUCACUUUCUACAAAGAUACAGAGGCCUCCAACAAACCUAUCGUCAACUGUUUUUCCGACACAAUCAAGAAAUACAUCUAUCAGUCUUGCCAAAAAAUAAAGGAAAUACAGCUCCCAAGUUCCUAUACCAAUCAAAUGAACUUGCUGUCUAACACCAAAUUGAAAAGCCAUCAGCAGCUAUCAUGACACCUCAUACCACUGCAACAGAAGAAAGUGAAUCCAGUGAUGGGAGCUGGAUAGCUGCACUGUUAAUUGGCAUAAUUUUGUCUGGUAUGAUGAUAGUUAUUAUUAUAAUUCUACUGUGGAAAUGCUCAAAAAAGCCAGCUCAGGCUGAUCCAAACUGGGCAGGUCGCUCUCCAUUUGCAGAUGGAGAAAUACCUGAUAUCUUUGUGGAGAGUAUUAAAGAAACGGAGCUGGCUACAAAACGUACAUCAGUUCUCUCUAUCUUGCCAUGGAAAUUUAACAAAAACGGAUCCUUGGAUAAUUCUAAAAGCUCUGAAUCAAAAGAAAGACCUGAGAAGCCACCCAGCUGCAACACAAAGGAGAAGAGCAAUCAAUCUACCCCUACACUAAAGGGAGGCCCAGGCCCAUUAGCCGCCAACAUUUCGGUUUCCUCUUCAAAUAUUAUCAAUGUGCCCCCACCUCCUGUUUCAGAUGGACUGAGUGACGUAUGCGACCCUCCGCUCAACCCAAUCCUUCCCCCACCCGAGUCACUUGAUCUGCCACCUCCACCUGACUGGCUUAACGAAGUCCAGGAGAAUCACUGUCCCGAAAUCAGCAAAUCUCUUGAAUGUCAAUCAGAAGCACAGAGCGAGUUUCCCCCUCCUCCUGACUUAACCCAUCAAGAUGUAAAUUAACCAUUGCUGUCAGCAUGGCCAGACCCUGGAUAAAUUGAAGGAGCCUGCUUUGCAACAUACUUCACACUGUUCUUAAAAGUGUUUUGAAGCAAAUGAUUACAUGAGAAGUUGAGAUAAACAAGAACUAUAUGAAGUUACAGCUUUUAUUAAACAUUAGCUUUUCACAAAUGGGAACCACCUACUGAUCUGCUUGAAACUAAUGACUUCAAUACAGAGUAUGGAUGCUAGCUAAAGAAAAAAACGGGACUAAGUACGUAAAUGGAGGUCUAGUAUUUACAGAUUUUAAAAGCUACAGAAACAAAGGUUUCCAUAUAUAUAGUUUUCAAAAUGCAAUGAGUCCAGCUUUAUAGAAAGACCGCUUCUAACUUGUAUGUUUGUUUUUCCAGGCUGUAUAACUUGAAUUAACAGUCACUUUAGCAGCAUACUUCACAUUUAAUUUUAAUAAAAUGUUUGAAUACAAAGGCA